rnacentral:siRNA from 1 species
UCAGAUCUGGUGGAGAUGGUGUCU